rnacentral:rRNA from 1 species
GACGAACGCUGGCGGCGUGCCUAAUACAUGCAAGUAGAACGCUGAAGAGAGGAGCUUGCUCUUCUUGGGUGAGUUGCGCACGGGUGAGUAACGCAUAGGUAACCUGCCUUGUAGCGGGGGAUAACUAUUGGAAACGAUAGCUAAUACCGCAUAACAAUGGAUGACACAUUUCAUUUAUUUGAAGGGGGCCAUUGCUCCACUACAAGAUGGACCUGCGUUGUAUUAGCUAGUAGGUGAGGUAACGGCUCACCUAGGCGAGGAUACAUAGCCGACCUGAGAGGGUGAGCGGCCACACUGGGACGGAGACACGGCCCAGACGCCCAGGGGAGGGAGCAGGAGGGAAUCGUGGGCAAGGGGGGCAACCCUGAGCGAGAUACGCCGCGGGAGUGAAGAACGGUGUCGGAUCGUAAAGGUCGGUUGUAAGUCAAGAACGGGUGUGAGAGUGGAAAGUUCACACUGUGACGGUAGCUGAUCAGAAAGCGACGGCUAACUACGUG